rnacentral:rRNA from 1 species
GACGAACGCUGGCGGCGUGCCUAAUACAUGCAAGUUGAGCGCUGAAGGUUGGUACUUGUACCAACUGGAUGAGCAGCGAACGGGUGAGUAACGCGUGGGGAAUCUGCCUUUGAGCGGGGGACAACAUUUGGAAACGAAUGCUAAUACCGCAUAAAAACUUUAAACACAAGUUUUAAGUUUGAAAGAUGCAAUUGCAUCACUCAAAGAUGAUCCCGCGUUGUAUUAGCUAGUUGGUGAGGUAAAGGCUCACCAAGGCGAUGAUACAUAGCCGACCUGAGAGGGUGAUCGGCCAACUUGGGACUGGGACACGGCCCAAACUCCUACGGGAGGCAGCAGUAGGGAAUCUUCGGCAAUGGACGAAAGUCUGACCGAGCAACGCCGCGUGAGUGAAGAAGGUUUUCGGAUCGUAAAACUCUGUUGGUAGAGAAGAACGCUGGUGAGAGUGGAAAGCUCAUCAAGUGACGGUAACUACCCAGAAGGGGACGGCUAACUACGUG